rnacentral:ribozyme from 1 species
UGCCCAGCAACUCCUAUCCCUACCUCCACGCGGUACCGGCCGGAAACUAUGAGCAAUCUUAGGGUUACCAACCCCGAUGGGAACGUUGGUCGUAGGCUGACAGGGAAAG